rnacentral:rRNA from 1 species
CCAGACUCCUACGGGAGGCAGCAGUGAGGAAUAUUGGUCAAUGGACGUAAGUCUGAACCAGCCAAGUAGCGUGCAGGAUGACGGCCCUAUGGGUUGUAAACUGCUUUUGUAUGGGGAUAAAGUCAAUCACGUGUGAUUGUUUGCAGGUACCAUACGAAUAAGGACCGGCUAAUUCCGUGCCAGCAGCCGCGGUAAUACGGAAGGUUCGGGCGUUAUCCGGAUUUAUUGGGUUUAAAGGGGGCGUAGGCCGGAGAUUAAGUGUGUUGUGAAAUGUAGACGCUCAACGUCUGACUUGCAGCGCAUACUGGUUUCCUUGAGUACGCACAACGUUGGCGGAAUUCGUCGUGUAGCGGUGAAAUGCUUAGAUAUGACGAAGAACUCCGAUUGCGAAGGCAGCUGACGGGAGCGCAACUGACGCUGAAGCUCGAAGGUGCGGGUAUCGAACAGGAUUAGAUACCCUGGUAGUCCGCACAGUAAACGAUGGAUGCCCGCUGUUGGUACCUAGUAUCAGCGGCUAAGCGAAAGCAUUAAGCAUCCCACCUGGGGAGUACGCCGGCAACGGUGAAACUCAAAGGAAUUGACGGGGGCCCGCACAAG